rnacentral:lncRNA from 1 species
UCUCCCGGGUUUUCUUUCCUCACCAGUCCUCUCCUUACUCUGCAGGUCAGUCGUUCCCUACUCUGGAGGCCCCGGAAGCCCCGGAGAGUUCCUGCAGCCUGUCUGUCCAGGGAUGUACCUCGGGAGAACAGCAGAAUGUGGGAACAGAAGAAUGAGGACCACUCCCAAGAGCCACUCCAAGAGCCAAUGGCCAACCUUCCUGUCUUUGGCUAAGGUGAAGAGAAGGAAAAAAGAAAUGCACAGGGGAAGUGAAAUGAGUUGGCUGAGAGUUAAAGUGUGAGGAGGCCUUGGCAUACAUCCCCGACCUCUUCCCCAAGAUGGAUGCCUGUAUCCCUCCUUUCCAGUAUGUUGUGACCUGGCACCCACCAUCUCCUGUCACUCAGAGUCCCAGGGUAUACAUAUGUGGCUGGGGUGAGAGAAGGGUCUUGUGGAGUCCUGGCCAGUGAGGAGGCAGCUGGUGGGAGGGGGUGGUCUUCCACAGUCUAACAGGACUUUCUCUCUCACCCUGUGCAGCUCAGAAUCCAUCUCCAGGACUGUGUCUUCUCUGCUGUGUGAGGCCCAAGUGGCUCUGGCUCAGGUCUGUCUCCCUGUGACCUGCAGGUGCUAUGAGGUCCACAGGAAGGAUGUUGGGACUCCGCAGAAGGCAAGAAAUGGUGAGUGUGUGGGGCCAGGACUGCUCAGGGAGGUGGGAUGGUUAG